AUGUUAUAUUUGGACCUGAAGAUGAAGAUUUCCAUCCAUUUCUUGUACCGGGUGGUGAUUUAAGGUUAGUCAAGAACAGUUUGACUGAUUGGAACAGCAAAGAUCCAACAAGUCUGUUGGCUAUUGUUGAGGAAUUGAGGGAUAAAUACAAGUCCUACCAAAAGAGGCUUGUUGGAGAAGUUGAUGAUGAUCGAUUGAAGUUUGAAAUUAGCACUAUCUUAUCUAGGGAGGGGAUUGAAAUGCAUAUGAGUUCUGGUUUUGAGAAGCCAGAGGAGGUCAAAUUUGCAGUUCCUUUAAUGGACAUGAACAUAAAUAAAAUGAUACUUGCAUGUCCCUGGAGGAAUCCACAAAAGAUAUACUUACAGGUUGUUUAUCCUGUUGGUAGAAAGUAUGUAUCUGCUCCUUCAGCACCUCGUCUGAAAUUAAUGUCUACUUCUGAGUUGAAAGCUCUAUUUUCCAUUGAUGAUGUCAAACUUC
rnacentral:misc_RNA from 1 species